rnacentral:lncRNA from 1 species
UCAGGAUAUGGUGGUUUAGUUGUCAGUUAUGUUGUUAGUCAGUUGUAGAAGCCAUCGCUCCACUAGGCUCGAUUUCAGAUGUAACAUGUCCGAGGAUCUGUGCAUCGUCCUCUGCACUUGCCGUAGCAAAAAAAAAUCGAGAACACUUUUCUGGGAUUUAUCCAUCUUGUUUUAUUACAUGAACUAAAUUAUCCUUAAUAAAAGACCAAGC